rnacentral:sRNA from 1 species
GCUGGGCGUGGUGACGCACGCCUUUAAUCCCAGCACUCAGGAGGCAGAGGCAGGUGGAUCUCUGUGAGUUCAAGGCCAGCCUGGUCUACAUAAGUGAGGUCCAGGACAGCUGGGGCUACAGGGAGAACCUGUCUCAAAAAGACCAAAAAAAUUUUUUUUCUUUUGGGACAGAGUCUCACUUUGUAGCCCUGGCUGGCCUGGAACUGGCCAUGUAGACCAGGCUGGCCUCAAACUCACAGAGAUCCUCCUGCCUCU